rnacentral:rRNA from 1 species
GUGCAGCAGGCGAGAAUUUUUGACAAUGGGGGAAACCCUGAUCGAGCGACGCCGCGUGGAGGAUGAAGGUCUUCGGAUUGUAAACUCCUGUCAUUGGGGAACAAGGUGCAUACGUUAACUGCGUGUGUAUUGAUAGUACCCGAAGAGGAAGGGACGGCUAACUCUGUGCCAGCAGCCGCGGUAAUACAGAGGUCCCAAGCGUUGUUCGGAUUCAUUGGGCGUAAAGGGUGCGUAGGCGGCGCGGUAAGUCGGGUGUGAAAUCUCGGAGCUUAACUCCGAAACUGCAUUCGAUACUGCCGUGCUUGAGGACUGGAGAGGAGACUGGAAUUUACGGUGUAGCGGUGAAAUGCGUAGAUAUCGUAAGGAAGACCAGUGGCGAAGGCGGGUCUCUGGACAGUUCCUGACGCUGAGGCACGAAGGCCAGGGGAGCAAACGGGAUUAGAUACCCCCGUAGU